rnacentral:rRNA from 1 species
UACGAAGGGUGCAAGCGUUAUUCGGAGUGACUGGGCGUAAAGAGCGCGUAGGCGGUCUUUUAAGUCGCGUGUUAAAUUCCACAGCUUAACUGUGGGUCAGCAUGCGAAACUGGGAGACUAGAGGGUAAGAGAGAGCAGUGGAAUUCUCGGAGUAGCGGUAAAAUGCGUAGAUCUCGAGAGGAACACCGGUAGCGAAGGCGGCUGCUUGGCUUAUCCCUGACGCUGAGGCGCGAAAGCGUGGGGAGCAAACAGGAUUAGAUACCCUGGUAGUCCACGCCGUAAACGAUGAUCACUAGACGUUGGUAGUGCUUAGCACUAUCGGUGUCGUAGCUAACGCGAUAAGUGAUCCGCCUGGGAAGUACGGUCGCAAGAUUA